rnacentral:snoRNA from 1 species
GAUCUGAGUGUUGGUAUGCUGCAAAGGACGAUAAAAAAUCGCCAUAUGGUCUCAUGCCUACGAUGGGCCAGAGGAGCAUUUUGGCAAGACACACACUGGGCGGCCAUUGCGUCUGCGGUAGACCCGCCGAUUCCACAACCCAGGAACAGC